rnacentral:rRNA from 1 species
AUUGAACGCUGGCGGCAGGCCUAACACAUGCAAGUCGAGCGGAAACGAUGGAAGCUUGCUUCCAGGCGUCGAGCGGCGGACGGGUGAGUAAUGCAUGGGAAUCUGCCCGAUAGUGGGGGAUAACCUGGGGAAACCCAGGCUAAUACCGCAUACGUCCUACGGGAGAAAGCAGGGGAUCUUCGGACCUUGCGCUAUCGGAUGAGCCCAUGUCGGAUUAGCUUGUUGGUGAGGUAAUGGCUCACCAAGGCGACGAUCCGUAGCUGGUCUGAGAGGAUGAUCAGCCACAUCGGGACUGAGACACGGCCCGAACUCCUACGGGAGGCAGCAGUGGGGAAUAUUGGACAAUGGGCGAAAGCCUGAUCCAGCCAUGCCGCGUGUGUGAAGAAGGCCCUCGGGUUGUAAAGCACCUUCAGUGGGGAAGAAAGCCUCGGGAUUAAUACUUCCGAGGAAGGACAUCACCCACAGAAGAAGCACCGGCUAACUCCGUGCCAGCAGCCGCGGUAAUACGGAGGGUGCGAGCGUUAAUCGGAAUUACUGGGCGUAAAGCGCGCGUAGGCGGUCUGAUCAGCCGGUUGUGAAAGCCCCGGGCUCAACCUGGGAACGGCAUUCGGAACUGUCAGGCUAGAGUGCAGGAGAGGAAGGUAGAAUUCCCGGUGUAGCGGUGAAAUGCGUAGAGAUCGGGAGGAAUACCAGUGGCGAAGGCGGCCUUCUGGACUGACACUGACGCUGAGGUGCGAAAGCGUGGGUAGCAAACA